rnacentral:rRNA from 1 species
GACGAACGCUGGCGGCGCGCCUAACACAUGCAAGUCGAACGAGUGAGAGAGAGCUUGCUUUCUCGAGCGAGUGGCGAACGGGUGAGUAACGCGUGAGGAACCUGCCUCAAAGAGGGGGACAACAGUUGGAAACGACUGCUAAUACCGCAUAAGCCCACGACCCGGCAUCGGGUAGAGGGAAAAGGAGCAAUCCGCUUUGAGAUGGCCUCGCGUCCGAUUAGCUAGUUGGUGAGGUAAUGGCCCACCAAGGCGACGAUCGGUAGCCGGACUGAGAGGUUGAACGGCCACAUUGGGACUGAGACACGGCCCAGACUCCUACGGGAGGCAGCAGUGGGGAAUAUUGCACAAUGGGGGAAACCCUGAUGCAGCGACGCCGCGUGGAGGAAGAAGGUCUUCGGAUUGUAAACUCCUGUUGU